AUACGAAAGGUGCAAGCGUUGUUCGGAUUUACUGGGCGUAAAGAGAUCGUAGGUGGUUUGUUAAGUCGGAUGUGAAAUCCCGGGGCUCAACCCCGGAACUGCAUUCGAUACUGGCAGGCUAGAGUUUGGGAGGGGUAAGCGGAAUUCCGUGUGUAGCAGUGAAAUGCGUAGAUAUACGGAGGAACACCUGAGGCGAAGGCGGCUUACUGGACCAAUACUGACACUGAGGAUCGAAAGCGUGGGUAGCAAACAGGAUUAGAAACCCUAGUAGUCC
rnacentral:rRNA from 1 species